rnacentral:lncRNA from 1 species
CACACAAGCUACUGUGACAGUCCUUUGAGGGGAUUUUUGAAAAGGGCAGAGGAAUUUGAGAGCUCCUCAGAUGCCGCCAGGAAUUCUUCUCUGUGAAACCCAUGUUCCUGAUGUUCAAAUUAGCACCCAUCUGGAAUGUCACAUCCGCCUCUGCUUAGACGAGGAAUAGUGAAACCUAUAGUCAUGAUAAAGAUCAUUCUUGCUUUUCCUUGUGUAGAAAAGAAGGAAUGCUACCAGCUGAACUCCCACACAAAGCCAUGUGCCAGGGCCAACAGGUGAUACUUCAACAGCAUCCAAAGAAGGUUGUAAAAUUAGCAACCCUACAAAUGAAAUGUUGACUUCAGGGACCUAAUGUUUUAGCUGGGGAAAUAAAUCCCCAUGAAGCUAGCUUUCCAAAACAAGAUUUUAAAAGGCCCACAAAAUUACCACACCCCUCUCUGAACAGAUUCCCAGGGAGCCCCAGCCCCUCAACAACCUCCCCUCCAUUGUGACAUUUCCGUUGUGAGGCUGUGUCGCCGCUGCGCGUCAUCACGUGUCGAUGGAGGCAUCGCAAUGCAACAGCCAAGUAUCGGAUCCGGCCUUCUUCAGCUCUCUGUUGUCUCCAUCAGCUCCCCUGGGGGCACUGUGACAUUUCCGCUGUGAGACUGUGUCGCCGCUGCGCGUCAUCACGUGUCGAUGGAGGCAUCGCAAUGCAACAGCCAACUCUAGAGAUGCCCAAUGCACAAGACUCCCGAUGGAAAGAGAAUGCCGAUGGAGUUGGGCUGCCAGGCCUUUUCUCCUAGGUUGCAGCACUGGUGGAGAGGAGAGGCAUCUGGAGGAGGGGAGCCAUGUCAAGCGCGUAUGAGCACACACCUUCUCUCUCGGGUCCUGGGUUCCUUUUUGAGCCGUGGAUGAGAAAAUGAGAGGCGUAAACAGGACUGAUUUCAAACGUUCUGCCUAACUAUCAUGGCAAAGAGAAGGAAGUCAUCCCCUAGAGUGAUGAACUAGCUUCUUCAGAACUUUCUUGGAAUGAGAAGAAAAUUUAAUUAAUCCAGGGUUAUUAAAUGGAUUAUUACUAAUUAUAUUAUUAAAAUAGAAGAGUCAGUCUUUAUUGCAAUUUUUUCCUGGGAGACAGGUGCAGCGUCUUCCAGUGAAGAAGAUGUGGCAGCCGCAGGGGCACAGGCGUCUCUGUACCUGCAGGACUUGGCUCUGUAGCCAGCAGUCACAGCUCUGGCAGAGCAAAUGUGGUGUCCGAGGCCACAGAGGUCCCAGUCAACAUUUGUCAUGGUUGGCAAGACUCACAAAAGAAGAAAUCUGAGUAGAUGAUGUGUGGUUAUAGGAACGAUUCGGGGAGCCACCGUUAAUGAUUGAGACCACUGACUUUUAAAUUACAUUUAACUGUAGUUUAAAUUUAUGUGACCCCAGCACAACAUGAUUUUGCUCUGGAGACAGUGUUGAGGCCAGAAAUUAAUUCUCCCUAGUGGACUGUCAAAGUGAGUAUAUAAAAGAUAGAGUAAGUCAGUCAGCCCAACAGUGAAUGCUGCUUUACUCAACCUGUUGCAUUAUUUUUCAUUACCG